rnacentral:rRNA from 1 species
AACGAACGCUGGCGGCAGGCUUAACACACGCAAGUCGAACGCCCUAGCAAUAGGGAGAGGCGCACGGGUGAGUAACGCGUGGGAAUGUACCGUUUAGUGGGGGAUAACCAAGGGAAACUUUGGCUAAUACCGCAUACGCCCUUCGGGGGAAAGAUUUAUCGCUAAACGAUCAGCCCGCGUGAGAUUAGGUAGGUGGUGGGGUAACGGCCUACCAAGCCGACGAUCUCUAGCUGGUCUGAGAGGAUGAUCAGCCACACUGGAACUGAGACACGGUCCAGACUCCUACGGGAGGCAGCAGUGGGGAAUAUUGGACAAUGGGGGCAACCCUGAUCCAGCCAUGCCGCGUGAGUGAUGAAGGCCUUAGGGUUGUAAAGCUCUUUUACCGAUGAAGAUAAUGACGGUAGUCGGAGAAAAAGCCCCGGCUAACUUCGUGCCAGCCGCCGCCGUAA